AAGAAAAAAAGAAAGAAAGAAAAGAAAAAAAAGAAAAAAAGCA
rnacentral:ribozyme from 11 species